rnacentral:lncRNA from 1 species
GAUUUACUUUAGGAUUUGGUUAGGAUUUGAUUUAGGGUUUGAUUAGGAUUUAGUUUAGGGUUUAGGAUUUUAUUUAGGGUUUAGGAUUUAUUUAGGAUUUUGUUUAGGAUUUAGGAUUUGGUUUAAGGUUUAGGGUUUGAUUUAGGAUUUGGUUAGGAUUUGAUUAGGAUUUGAUUUAAGAUUUAGGAUUCGGUUUAAGAUUUAGGAUUUGAUUUAGGAUUUAGGAUUUGGUUUAAGAUUUAUUUAGGGUUUGGUUUAGGAUUUGUUUUAGGAUUUAGGAUUUGAUUUAAGAUUUAUUUAGGAUUUGAUUUAGGGUUUGGUUAGGAUUUGGUUUAGGAUUUAGGAUUUGAUUUAGGAUUUAGGAUUUGGUUUAGGGUUUGUUUAGGGUUUGGUUUAGGAUUUGUUUAGGGUUUGGAUAAAGUUUGGUUUAGGAUUUAAUUAGGAUUUGUUUUAGGAUUUAAGGUUUAAUUUAGGAUUUGUUUAGGAUUUUAAAAUUUAAUUAGUUUUGGCCUAAAAUUUGAAUGAAGUCCAAUAGGAUUUUAACUAGGAUUAAAUUAAAAUUGAAUUGAGAUGUAUUUGAGAGAUAUUUUUAGUUAUUCUAAUAUUUCUUUAAGAUUUCUUAUUAUUUCUUUGAAAUUUCUUUGAGGUUUCUUUGAAUUUGAUUAAAGCUUGUUUAACAUUAUUAUGGUCUA